CAAGUCCUCAUGGCCCUUAUGGGCUGGGCUACACACGUGCUACAAUGGCGGUGACAGUGGGCAGCGAAGGGGCGACCUGGAGCAAAUCCCCAAAAACCGUCUCAGUUCGGAUUGUUCUCUGCAACUCGAGAGCAUGAAGUCGGAAUCGCUAGUAAUCGCUUAUCAGCAUGAAGCGGUGAAUACGUUCCCGGGCCUUGUACACACCGCC
rnacentral:rRNA from 1 species